AUUGCUUUUAGGUGUUUUUGCUAAAAUCAAGUGUAGUAUCUAUUCUUAUCUGGUAUGUCCUCUAUCUGAUGACAAUGUAUCAGAGAUAGAUCUUUGGAUCUGGGAGUUAGAAUAGGAGCUUGUUCCGUCAACUCCAUACAGCAACCUAAUAUUGCAGAACCUCCAGAAAUGGUAGACUUCCC